rnacentral:rRNA from 1 species
AACGAACGCUGGCGGCAGGCUUAACACAUGCAAGUCGAACGACCUGGGGGCUUCGGUCCCCGAUGCUAGUGGCGCACGGGUGAGUAACACGUGGGAAUAUGCCCUUUAGUACGGAAUAACGAAGGGAAACUGUGGCUAAUACCGUAUACGCCCUUCGGGGGUAAGAUUUAUUGCAAAAGGAUUAGCCCGCGUCUGAGUACGUAGUUGGUGAGGUAAUGGCUGCCCAAGCCGACGAUCAGGAGCUGGUCUGUGAGGAUCAUCCGCCACUCCUGGACUGAGCCACGGUCCAGACUCUUACGGGAGGCAGCCGUGCCUGAUCCUGGCCUACCGCGUCAAUCAUGAUCCCGCCCUGCCGCGUGAGUCAAGAAGUUGUUAGGGUUGUACAGCUCUUUCGACCGCGACGGUGCUGACGGUACCCGUAGAAGAAGCCCCGGCUAACUUCGUG